AUCCUCCUGCAAAUACAAAAAGUUGUGCACAUCUUGUUGAUAAGUGAUUGAAUUUUCCGGACAGCUAAUUAUUACAAAAGGUGUGUGGUCGUGUUGACAAAUCUUGAAGUUGGAAACUCGGAAUCUUUUUUUCCCACUAAGAGGGCCACCACCGCCGGGUAAGCAAAAUACUCUCAUCAUGUGCUUGGGGCAAUUCUGAAUCAUUUUGUGCUUAUUUAUUUGAAAAAUGGUUGUCCACUACCUCCAUCAUCUACGAAGUGGCACAAUCACAAGAAAGAAGAUGCGGUGACUUGGGAAGAUGAGUAUUUGGAUCAACAUGAGUUGUUCCGAAAGCUUACGGCUAUUGAAAGUGGAAACAAAUCGCCGAAACCACAAAAUGAGUCAAACAAAGCGGCGCCUAUUUUGUAGGACACUCCCGAAAAACCAAAGCAACAAUUUGAAGUUAUUGCGGAAGAUGAGGAAGAUUCUAAUUCACUUGAUCUUCCCCAAUCACUUGGUCUUUAAUGAGUGAUUUUUUUGUCGGUGUUAGUCUUUUUUUUUGUAGAAAUUACACCGACGUAUAUUUUGGGGUCGAAAUUGUAACGCCAAUUUUUUGUGGCCAAUAUAUAAUUAACAUUAUGUAAUUUAUAUUGAUAUUUAUGAUAAUAUGACUUUUAUGUGGUGAAACUAGUGCAAUAAUUAUUUAUUCGUUAUUAAUGUUUACGCAUUUGAUUUAUUCGUUAUUACAUUUCAUUUAAUUUUGUUCUAAUUUAUGCUUCUUUUCUUAAAGCUUUUGUCAAGUGAAACAUGUUCGAGGUUGCAAAAAUUGAAGGCCGUGUUAGGUACUCCGCUUUUAAAAAGACAAUUAAGGUUAUAAUAAUGCCGACGGACUCUCUUGAUGAUUUGAAGACACAACUUAACACUUAUUUUGAGUAUCUUGGUGAAAAUCAAUAUACACGUCACUUGUUUGGUCAAAUGUCAUGCAUAGACCUAUGAGAAGAUAGAGAUGAAUACGCAUGGAAAACGGCAAGCUAUAUGCCUUGGUUUAUUAAAGAUGAUAGCGACGUCAAAUUUAUGUUUCGAAAUAUGGUGGAAAAUAAUAUAUUAUAUAUGUAUGUUCGUUCCAUAUGCAAUUGUGAUGAAUGUAAGUAGGGAUUUAAUAUAAUCAUGUGUAAUGAGUUGUUUAAUUAUGGACAUUUAAUUAUGGAUACUUUGUAACAUUUUGAUGAAUUUCAAACUUUUGUGUAAUUUAAAUCAAAUGUCGGUUUGAUUUAAUUAUGGACAAUUGUAAAAGGAGUUUUUCUAUUUACACCCCAUGUUUUUCUGGUUACACCCAAAUUUUCUUUAAAAAAAAUUAUAAUACCAAAAUUGCCCUUUUAUAUAAAUUUUCUUAAAACCCUAAUUUUAUUCAUUGUCAGUGAGUUUCACCCUCUUUUACCCCACAAAGCGAUUGAUCAAACAAUUUGAUGUUCAAUAUCAAUCUCCAUGAAAAUUAAAGAGUGAAUCAAAAUAUUUUUCAUCCAUACUCAAUUGGAUAUAAGUGAGUGAAUUUCUUCUUCUAUUUGCUAGUUUCAAUUUUUUUCUUCAACUGCACUGAUGCACUGUACCAUUACGGUUUUAAUUUACAUUGGCAAGGUUAACUUAAACUCAGUUUAAGUAGGUUCAUGUAAACUUAGUUUACAUGAACCUACUUAAACUGAGUUUACAUGAACCUACUUAAAUUGAGUUUACAUGAACAUACUUAAACUGAGUUUACAUGAACAUACUUAAACUGAGUUUACAUGAACCUACUUAAAUUGAGUUUACAUGAACCUACUUAAAUUGAGUUUACAAAAUCGCAGAACUGUGAAUCGCAGAACAAGGAAAACACAAAAUCAGAACUGAGAACCCAUAACAAGAAAAACACAAUCGAUUGAAGAACAACACUUGCUAACCUGAUUUGCUUCGAAUUUUCUUUGAAAUCAUGAAUGGACGUGAGAAAGUAUGGUUUUGAAAAUCUUCGCAGAACACAAUCGAUCGAUUGGAGAAUUAUGGUUUUGGAAGAAGGGUUUUGGGGUGUAACCAAAAAAGAAGGAAUAGGCUUUUUGAAAAUCAAAUUUUAUGAAAGGGUAAUCUUGUCAUUUUGGGGUGCAACCAUGAUUAAGUAGGGUGCAAGUAGAAAAACUCCAAAAUUUAUUUAAUUUAUUAAGAUUUAUUAAAUAGGUCCCACGAAAAAUGAAGAUAGAGAUGGUGCUUCCAUAGACACUCUUCUCCAUAGACACUCAUAUUUUUUAUUCCAUAUUUAAUGUGGUGUUAAAUAGGUUAAGCAUCCACCAUUAUGAAUGGUCUUAAUACACUUUAGAUGAUUAGUUAAGUUUUUUUUUGAAGGAAAGACGAUUAGUUAAGUUAAAAAUGUAGCAAAAUUACUCACAUUAAUCUAAGUUAAGUUAAAUAUGUAGCACUUACCGUAAAAUAAAGAAGAUGUAGUAAUGAUUUUAUUAUUUUGGAUUGAGAAAUUUUCCUUUUUUUUUAUUUAAAUA
rnacentral:lncRNA from 1 species